rnacentral:rRNA from 1 species
AACGAACGCUGGCGGCAUGCCUAACACAUGCAAGUCGAACGAUGCUUUCGGGCAUAGUGGCGCACGGGUGCGUAACGCGUGGGAAUCUGCCCUUAGGUUCGGAAUAACAGUUAGAAAUGACUGCUAAUACCGGAUGAUGACGUUAAGUCCAAAGAUUUAUCGCCUGAGGAUGAGCCCGCGUAGGAUUAGCUAGUUGGUGUAGUAAAGGCGCACCAAGGCGACGAUCCUUAGCUGGUCUGAGAGGAUGAUCAGCCACACUGGGACUGAGACACGGCCCAGACUCCUGCGGGAGGCAGCAGUGGGGAAUAUUGGACAAUGGGCGCAAGCCUGAUCCAGCAAUGCCGCGUGAGUGAUGAAGGCCUUAGGGUUGUAAAGCUCUUUUACCCGUGAUGAUAAUGACAGUAGCGGGAGAAUAAGCCCCGGCUAACUCCGUGCCAGCAGCCGCGGUAAUAC